AGAAGCUACUAAGAGCUUACGGUGAAUGCCUUGGCGUCAAAUGCCGAUGAAGGACGUGGGACACUGCGAUAAGCCUCGGGGAGCUGUGAACAAGCGAUAUAUCCGGGGAUGUCCGAAUGGGGAAACCCACUGGUGCGAACCACCAGUAUCGUGCGCUGAAUUAAUAGGCGUAUGAAGGGAACCUGGGGAACUGAAACAUCUAAGUACCCAGAGGAAAAGAGACCAUUCUCCAAGUAGUGGCGAGCGAACGGGGAACAGCCCAAACCGGCUCAGUUUACUGGGCCGGGGUUGUAGGGUCCGGCGGCUAAGAGUUACAAAGUGAGACGUUAGCAGAAUUGGUAUGGAAAAGCCAACCACAGAAGGUGAAAGUCCUGUAUGCGAAAACGUCGAACCUCUCGCUGGAUACCUGAGUACUACCGGGCACGCUAAUCCGGUAGGAAACUGGGGAGUCCACUCUCCAAGGCUAAAUACGUUUGACGACCGAUAGUGAACAAGUACCGUGAGGGAAAGGUGAAAAGUACCCCUGUUAGGGGAGUGAAAAGAUCCUGAAACCGUAAGCUUACAAGCAGUCGAAGGGCUAAUGGCGUGUUGGUGCUAUGGUGAAAGCCUGUGCGCAGCGCUAUGCCUGACGGCGUGCCUCUUGGAGAAUGAGUCUGCGAGUUAAUCUUUGUGGCAAGGUUAAGGAAGUUACAUCCGAAGCCGCAGCGAAAGCGAGUCUUAAUAGGGCGUGCAGUCGCAAGGAUUAGACACGAAACCAGGUGAGCUAACCAUGGCCAGGUUGAAGCGAGUAUAAAAGCUCGUGGAGGACCGAACCUACUAAUAUUGCAAAAUUAGGGGAUGAGCUGUGGUUAGGGGUGAUAUGCCAAACGAACUUGGAGAUAGCUUGUUCUCCCCGAAAUAGCUUUAGGGCUAGCGUUAAGCGUUUAGUAACGGAGGUAGAGCACUGAAUGGGCUAGGGGGCUUAUUGCUUACCGAACCUAAUCAAACUCCGAAUGCCGUUACUCCAAGCUUAGCAGUCGGACUCCGGGAGAUGAGUUUCGGGGUCGAAAGGGAAACAGCCCAGAUCAACAGCUAAGGUCCCCAAAUUUGAACUCAGUGGGAAACGAUGUGAGGUUACUGAAACAACCAGGAGGUUGGCUUAGAAGCAGCCACCCUUUAAAAAGUGCGUAACAGCUUACUGGUCGAGUGAUCUUGCGCGGAAAAUUUAACGGGGCUAAGUUCAAUACCGAAGCUUUGGACUCGCGCGAAAGCGCGAUUGGUAGGGGAGCGUUCUGCCAGCAGUGAAGUCUGACCGAAAGGACAGGUGGAGCGGGCAGAAGUGAGAAUGCAGACAUGAGUAGCGUAAAACACGUGAGAACCGUGUUCGCCGUAUAUCUAAGGUUUCCGACGCCAGGUCAAUCCGCGUCGGGUUAGUCAGGGCCUUAGCUGAGGCCGAAAGGCGUAAGCGAUGGAUACCCGGUCAACAUUCCGGGACCACUCAGGAUGAGUGAUGGAGGGACGCAACGAGGUAGACCAGCCCGUGAUUGGUUGCGCGGGUGCGUCUUGUGUCAGCCGUUGAGGUUUACAGGUAAAUCCGUAGACUGAGGUGAGACAAGGCGACGUGCCCUUGAGGUGGAAGUGAGUUAAGCCUUGUUGCCGAGAAAAGCUCCUAAACGUUGAAUUUUGAGUGCCUGUACCGCAAACCGACACUGGUAGAUGGGUAGAAUAUACCAAGGCGAACGGGAGAACCUUCGUUAAGGAAUUAGGCAAAUUAGCCUCGUAACUUCGGGAUAAGAGGUGUCCUCUGGCGUAAGUGCAAAUGAGCGUCGGGGGAUCGCAGUGAAAUGGUUCUAGGGACUGGUUAACAAAACCACAGGUCUCUGCAAAGCCGCAAGGCGAUGUAUAGGGGCUGACACCUGCCCAGUGCCGGAAGGUUAAAGGGAGAGGUUAGCGCAAGCGAAGCUUUGAACUGAAGCCCCGGUGAACGGCGGCCGUAACUAUAACGGUCCUAAGGUAGCGAAAUUCCUUGUCGGGUAAGUUCCGACCCGCACGAA
rnacentral:rRNA from 1 species